GACGGAGGGGGCAAGCGUUGUUCGGAAUUAUUGGGCGUAAAGAGCUCGUAGGCGGUUGGGUAAGUCGGGUGUGAAAACUCCAGGCUCAACUUGGAGACGCCACCCGAUACUGCUCUGACUUGAGUUCGGUAGGGGAGUGGGGAAUUCCUGGUGUAGCAGUGAAAUGCGUAGAGAUCGUAAGGAAGACCAGUGGCGAAGGCGAGUUUCUGGACAGUUACUGACGCUGAGGCACGAAGGCCAGGGGAGCAAACGGGG
rnacentral:rRNA from 1 species